rnacentral:RNase_P_RNA from 2 species
GGAGUCGGCCAGACAAUCGCGGUCCGGGCCUUGUUCGCAAGGCGUUGGAUGGAGGAAAGUCCGGGCUCCGCAGGGCAGGGUGCCAGGUAACGCCUGGGGGGCGCGAGCCUACGGAAAGUGCCACAGAAAAUAUACCGCCAAACCCGCAGCCAGUGCUCUGGCCAGCGGGCGGUAAGGGUGAAAUGGUGUGGUAAGAGCGCACCGCGCUCCUGGCAACAGGGGUGGCAGGGUAAACCCCACCCGGAGCAAGACCAAAUAGAGGAGCGGGCGGCCCCAUCAUCCGACGGGGUCGCACCAUGCGGCCCGCAUGGGCUCCCGGGUAGGUCGCACGAGGCAGGCGGUGACGUCUGUCCCAGAUGAAUGAUUGUCCACGACAGAACCCGGCUUAUCGGCCGACUCCUUUU